GCUCCUUUGACUCAGUUGGUAGAGCGUCAGUCUCAUAAUCUGAAGGUCGCCAGUUCGAUCCUGGCAGGGAGCA
rnacentral:tRNA from 1 species